ensembl:lncRNA
GACAUCUUAGCUCCAAUCCAAUCAACUUUUAUUCCUUUGGAAGCGUACAGAGUUGGCAGGCCUUUUGAGCCAGUUGUACAGUUAUACCACUGACCUUCCAAUUACAGGCAGGGGCUGAUGGUCCACUCUACUACAGCAAUUCAGUCAGACUACAUCAGUCAUUCAUUUCAUUUCACUCAUCAGAUAGUUUUGUACUGUCAGAAUAAAUAGUCUGGUUAACAAUAACAAAGACAACUUCAGAAAGGUACAAAACAGCUAUAGAGCACUGAAUAUACUGUAUGUUUACAAUUGUAAGCAUAGAAGACUUCACUUAAUAUAAGUUACUGUAGUUUUGUUAUGUCCCGAAGCCCAGUUUACAGUAAAUAUGUAGUGUAGUGUGACCUUUGAUUCUAUUCGAAGGCAUGUCAUGAUGUAAUGACAGAAGAGUAAGGUGCCUAGUACUUGGUUUGGUCUGUGGUACACUGUGUCUGUGUGGGGGGUGGGGGCGGGCAAGGACGAAGGAUGAGUACCCCGCUGGCCCCAUAUAAGAACACAAACACAUGGGUGCAUGACAUCCCACCCGGCGUACAGACACAGCCCAUGUGACCGGCUGGCUCAGAGACAGCUGUGACUGUCUAACUGUGGCCCAGGUCAGAUCCUGGCCCGGAUCACAUGCUGCUUAACCCACGUCCAUGUCAGACCGCUAAUCAGUGACCAAUGUAAACGGACCUCUCAAAGCUAUCUUGGACGAGGCACCGUACCCCGUCUUGUGGAUUGAAAAGAGAUAGAGAGAGUGUGUGUGUGUUUCUGUGUAUGUGUGUGUGUGUGUGUGUGUGUGUGUGUUGGAGGGAAAGCGCUUCAGUGGCAGUGGACACUGACAGAAGUGGUCAUUCCUUGACAUUCCUGCUGGGUUAUGGUGGGGACAUGUAUUACGGUUGGGGCAGGUAUCCUGCUGAGUUAUGGUGGGGACCUGUAUUACGGUUAUGGUGGGGACAGGUAUUACGGUUGGGGCAGGUAUGUUGCUGGGUUAUGGUGGGGACCUGUAUUACGGUUGGGGCAGGUAUCCUGCUGGGUUAUGGUGGGGAUCUGUAUUACGGUUGGGGCAGGUAUCCUGCUGAGUUAUGGUGGGGAUCUGUAUUACGGUUGGGGCAGGUAUCCUGCUGGGUUAUGGUGGGGACCUGUAUUACGGUUGGGGCAGGUAUCCUGCUGGGUUAUGGUGGGGACCUGCAUUACGGUUGGGGCAGGUAUCCUGCUGGGUUAUGGUGGGGACCUGCAUUACGGUUGGGGCAGGUAUCCUGCUGGGUUAUGGUGGGGACCUGCAUUACAGUUGGGGCAGGUAUCCUGUUGCAGCAGCCCACCCUACUUCUGCCCUUUCCAGAGCACCUCCUCCCAGCAAACCUGUUGCCUAACCAGAGUCCCCCAGACUGGACUGAACGUGCACUUCUUGUACUGUCCCGCCUGUUCUGUAUGGACAUGCAGAUAUGGUACUGUAGCCACACACUGGGGCUGUUCGACAGUACGUAUCAGACGACAGCAAUUUAUCAUUGCAUUAAGACAUCUAAGCGCAGCUUACAUAAAUUCCUGAGUGUCCCAUUUGAGGGAAAUAGCCUUAUUCACCCGAACCCGCCAUCAUGUCUCUUUGCCUGGUGUAGACUACAGACAGCACCAUAGACAGUACAACGUUCAGCUAAGUGGAGUAACAUCAUUGCUUUGAUCCAGUAGUAAUGACAUGAAUGCUGUCCUUUUAAGAAUGUAGUGCAUUAUUUUGGGGUCACCUUGGACUCCAGUCUAUCGGUGUAAUCUGGUUUGUCUGAUACUGGCCCUCUACCUCCUCCACCAUCUCUCCAGCUGACAUAUCUAUUGGUCCUUUGACAGCCCCUCAGACCCACUGUAAUCUAGUCACAGGCUUCUCCUUCAGUCAGCUGUUGUUGCUGGGAUGAAUGGCGACUCGCCUUUACAAAGUGUAUAGGAGUUAAGUGUGUCUCAAUGUCAAAGUGCAGCUGGAAAACUGGAUAGAAGGGGGGAUGAGUGUUGAUUCAUGUGGUCUAAAUAACAUGCAGCUUUAAGAGGCUGGUGCUGACAUUGUUGCAUCGAGAAUGAUGGAUGGUCAGUAGUAUUCUUAGGCACUGGAUAAAAUCAAAGCAACUGUUCAUCAUAAUCAAACAAAUUCUCAAAAUAGGUGUUAUAUUAUUGCUGUAGAAUUGUUAUAUAAUUCAGUAUGUACCAUAAGGCUUUUGGUGCAGUCAGUGUUUGCUGAGAGAGACAGUGAGUAUAUUUAUAGAAGGUUGGAAAGCAGGGCCUAUCUACUUGUCAGUGCUUUUAAAAUUGUGCAUCUUUUUAAAUUGUUGCUGUAUUUAUUUUUUAUUGGAGUUAGAUGGUACCGUAUGGAUGGUGUAUUUUUAUUUCCCUAUGUUUGUUUUUUGUGUUUUAAAUUAGGUUUUGUUUGUGAUGCCUGUUUUGGCCAGUACACUCCUGAAAUAGAUUUGUAAUCUUUCCUGGAUAAAGGUUAAAUAAAAAUAAAUCCCAGCUUCAUUGUUUACCUGGCCCCACUAUCAAUGAUCCCAUUCAGUGUUUACCUGGCCCCUCUAUCAAUGAUCCCAUUCAGGGUUUUAC